UACAGAGGUCUCAAGCGUUGUUCGGAUUCAUUGGGCGUAAAGGGUGCGUAGGCGGCGCGGUAAGUCGGGUGUGAAAUCUCGGAGCUUAACUCCGAAACUGCAUUCGAUACUGCCGUGCUUGAGGACUGGAGAGGAGACUGGAAUUUACGGUGUAGCGGUGAAAUGCGUAGAUAUCGGGAGGAACACCGGUGGCGAAGGCGGGUCUCUGGGCAUUAACUGACGCUGAGGAGCGAAAGCAUGGGGAGCGAACAGG
rnacentral:rRNA from 1 species